UUGUAAGGUAACCGGCGAGACUGAGGACAUUAAUAUGAUACGUGGAGGACCGGCAAACGUAAUGUCCGUACGAAAAAAAGCACUGGCUUGGGGAGGAAGAUGGGGAGAUGCGUGUAGGAAGACGGCGACAGUUAAAAAAAGGCAGGUUUUAAUAUCUAUGGUAGGUCUGCGGGAUGAUUCAGAUGUGCACAGCCGGUGUUGGUUCUACAAGGUUUUACCGUGCAGAAGAACAGUCUGAGAGAGGGAAACUUGGCUAUUUAAGCUGUGGGGAAUCGGGGCUGAUCUGGACGAGUAGUGCGCGACGAAGUAAGAAACCGCCAAUCCAGCACGCCUUCAGCAAAAUCCCCACCCACCCAUGACAACAAACAGCCGGCACACACCCAAAAAAACACAAAUCCCAGAACACCCACCACAAUCCCCCCCAAACACAUCCCACCGCCAAACCCACCCCAUCCGACAUCACCAAUCCAUUGACAGUGGUCGGGCGAGAUAGUUGCAUAUGUCAAUCCUGAAGAAAAGCUUGCGUUGGUGGUGUCUUGGUGAAGAUAGUGGGUAUGGAUCAUACCGUCGUCAAACGCGCGGAGGAGGGGCCACGAGGAACAGGGGUUGGAGGGUGAGGCCUCAAAAGGCUCCAGUACUUGCAAAUGGAUGGAAGCUGGCAAGAAAUUCCAAAUACGAUAAGAGUAUUCGAAGAGGAGGAAGCGUCGCCAUGCAGUGUUCCCGGCGGCAAGCGCGGGUACAUACAUGGAAGUGUCCCAAAAGGCUUGUUUGGGUAAAAGGGACGAAGAAGAAUGGAGAAGUGCUGAGGCAAGACGAUCGCGUGGGCUGGCUAGAGAUGAAGAAGAGGAUUUGUGGAGCGGGCUCGUAGCAGAAACGGAUGAAGAAGAUAGAGCCGGUCGAAGGCCAAUGCAACGGUGGGGAUGCAAAGAAGAAGAGGUGAUAUGCAUAUCAUCUGACGAUGAUGAUUAAAUUCGUUGCAUGCCUCAGCGUGCAACUGAAUUUAACUAAAGGAGAAGUCAGCUGAGAUAUAGUCAACGCAAUCUGGUUCAUGACUAGUAGGAUCGGAAUUAAAAAUCUGGUAGUUUGUAAUAGUAAUUCUGUACGUAUGAGUACUGGAGUGUACGAUAUUUAGAAAUGAUAUCGUCGUAGCUAGUAAUAAUAACUGUAAGGUAAGCUCAUUACUGAUGUUAUGGGCGGAGAAAAAUAGGGGU